rnacentral:rRNA from 1 species
AACGAACGCUGGCGGCGUGCCUAACACAUGCAAGUCGUGCGGGAAAGUGGGGGCAACCCCACGAGUACAGCGGCGCACGGGUGAGUAACACGUAGGUAACCUACCCCUAAGACUGGGAUAACCUGUCGAAAGACGGGCUAAUACUGGAUAAGACCACGAGGGCUUCGGCCCUUGCUGUAAAAGGUGGCCUCUACUUGUAAGCUACUACUGAGGGAUGGGCCUGCGCGCCAUUAGCUAGUUGGUAGGGUAACGGCCACCAAGGCAGAGAUGGCUAGCUGGUCUGAGAGGAUGGCCAGCCACACUGGGACUGAGACACGGCCCAGACUCCUACGGGAGGCAGCAGUGGGGAAUCUUGCGCAAUGGGCGAAAGCCUGACGCAGCGACGCCGCGUGGGUGAUGAAGGCCUGGUCGUAA